rnacentral:rRNA from 1 species
GAUGAACGCUAGCGGGAGGCUUAACACAUGCAAGUCGAGGGGCAGCAUAGGGUAGCAAUACUCUGAUGGCGACCGGCAAACGGGUGAGUAACGCGUAUGCAACCUACCCUGUACAGGGGGAUAACCCGGAGAAAUUCGGACUAAUAUCCCGUAAUAAUAUCCGGAGGCAUCUUUGGAUAUUUAAAGUUUCGACGGUACGGGAUGGGCAUGCGUAACAUUAGCUGGUUGGUAAGGUAACGGCUUACCAAGGCUAUGAUGUUUAGGGGUCCUGAGAGGGUGGUCCCCCAACUGGUACUGAGACACGGACCAGACUCCUACGGGAGGCAGCAGUGAGGAAUAUUGGUCAAUGGGCGCAAGCCUGAACCAGCCAUCCCGCGUGCAGGAAGACGGCCCUAUGGGUUGUAAACUGCUUUUCCAGGGAGAGAAACUUACGCACGUGUUGCGUGACUGACGGUACCCUGGGAAUAAGCAUCGGCUAACUCCGUG